AAGUCGAACGGUAACAGGAAGAAGCUUGCUUCUUUGCUGACGAGUGGCGGACGGGUGAGUAAUGUCUGGGAAACUGCCUGAUGGAGGGGGAUAACUACUGGAAACGGUAGCUAAUACCGCAUAACGUCGCAAGACCAAAGAGGGGGACCUUCGGGCCUCUUGCCAUCGGAUGUGCCCAGAUGGGAUUAGCUAGUAGGUGGGGUAACGGCUCACCUAGGCGACGAUCCCUAGCUGGUCUGAGAGGAUGACCAGCCACACUGGAACUGAGACACGGUCCAGACUCCUACGGGAGGCAGCAGUGGGGAAUAUUGCACAAUGGGCGCAAGCCUGAUGCAGCCAUGCCGCGUGUAUGAAGAAGGCCUUCGGGUUGUAAAGUACUUUCAGCGGGGAGGAAGGGAGUAAAGUUAAUACCUUUGCUCAUUGACGUUACCCGCAGAAGAAGCACCGGCUAACUCCGUGCCAGCAGCCGCGGUAAUACGGAGGGUGCAAGCGUUAAUCGGAAUUACUGGGCGUAAAGCGCACGCAGGCGGUUUGUUAAGUCAGAUGUGAAAUCCCCGGGCUCAACCUGGGAACUGCAUCUGAUACUGGCAAGCUUGAGUCUCGUAGAGGGGGGUAGAAUUCCAGGUGUAGCGGUGAAAUGCGUAGAGAUCUGGAGGAAUACCGGUGGCGAAGGCGGCCCCCUGGACGAAGACUGACGCUCAGGUGCG
rnacentral:rRNA from 1 species